ensembl:snoRNA SNORD36 Small nucleolar RNA SNORD36
UGGCGAUGAUGUCUGAAUUUCUUCACCUGAAUCCUCUGUGUGGAUCAAAACAUACGAGCUUUUUAACCCUGAGCAGA